UACGUAGGGUGCAAGCGUUGUCCGGAAUUAUUGGGCGUAAAGAGCUCGUAGGCGGGUUGUCGCGUCGGCUGUGAAAACUCGGGGCUCAACCCCGAGCCUGCAGUCGAUACGGGCAAACUAGAGUGUGGUAGGGGAGACUGGAAUUCCUGGUGUAGCGGUGAAAUGCGCAGAUAUCAGGAGGAACACCGGCGGCGAAGGCGGGUCUCUGGGCCAUAACUGACGCUGAGGAGCGAAAGCGUGGGGAGCGAACAGG
rnacentral:rRNA from 1 species